AAGCACCGUUUGUAACCUGUCGCUCAGUCUUGCUGUGGCUGGCGGGUCCCAUCCCAGUGCUGCAGCAUUCGUAGUGACACGUGCUGGCUGGUAGCUUUCAGUAUCUGCUCUUGGAAACACAC
rnacentral:snoRNA from 1 species